rnacentral:rRNA from 1 species
CUUAAAAUCUACAAGUAUUAACUUAUUUGUCGAGUUGUAGCUUAUGGAGGCAGUUUUCUUUUCUACGUCAUAGUAAAAGUUCUUUUGAAUAAGACAUCAAAGAGGGUGAUAAUCCCGUAUUUGACUAUGUUUAGUAGAGAAAUGUGAACUGUUUUCUUUGAGUCGGGUUGUUUGGAAAUGCAGCCCUAAUUAGGAGGUAAAUUUCUUCUAAAGCUAAAUAUAAGCAAGAGACCGAUAGCAAACAAGUACCGUGAGGGAAAGAUGAAAAGCACUUUGAAAAGAGAGUGAAAAGUACGUGAAAUUGUUGAAAGGGAACCGGUUGGUAGCCAAGCAUCAUAGAUUAGGGGUGAGYGGRAUUUAUUCCAUUUAAAUCUUUUUUAUGGGGUCAACAUCGGUUGUGAUURUCUGAGAGGAAUUUUCAAGCUAACGAAAGGAAGGUAGAGUAGUUGAUGGCCGGAGAUUUAUUUCUGGAAUCACGUYAAUUGCUUGUUAUAGACUUUUAUAAGCUUGAUUUACGCCUAGGGGUGAUUUCGACCGAGGAACGCAGUGUGGAGCAAUCCUAGCUGGAUUAAGGAGAAUAUACUUUUGCACUUUUCAGACAGCUUGCUGACUGUUGAGAUGUACGAGCGUAUUUAAUUCAUAAUUUAGACUAAAAAACACUUUGGAUGUUGACGAAAAGGCACCAAUCGACCCGUCUUGAAACACGGACCAAGGAGUCCAACAUACCUGCGAGUAUGUGGGAAUUAAAACCCAUAUGCGUAAUGAAAGUGAAAUUGUUAAAUUUUAAAUUUUUCAUUAGAAUGCGAUCUUUGGCAUUUAUGUCAUUGAGCAGCAUCAACCGACUUUAGAUAGCGUUGCUUGACAAGGUUGAGUAAGAGCAUGUAUGCUGGGACCCGAAAGAUGGUGAACUAUGCCUGAAUAGGGUGAAGUCAGAGGAAACUCUGAUGGAAGCUCGUAGAGAUUCUGACGUGCAAAUCGAUCUCCAAAUUUGGGUAUAGGGGCGAAAGACUAAUCGAACCAUCUAGUAGCUGGUUCCUGCGGAAGUUUCCCUCAGGAUAGCAGAGACUGAAUAAAGCAGUUUUAUGAGGUAAAGCGAAUGAUUAGAGGCCUUGGGGAUGUAACAUCCUUAACCUAUUCUCAAACUUUAAAUGCGUAAGAAGUUUCAGUUUCUUAAUUGAACUGGAACGUUUACGAAUGCCUCAGUCUCUAGUGGGCCAUUUUUGGUAAGCAGAACUGGCGAUGCGGGAUGAACCGAACGUAAAGUUAAGGUGCCCAAAUGCACGCUCAUAUAGACACCAUAAAAGGUGUUAGUUCAUCUAGACAGCAGGGCGGUGGCCAUGGAAGUCGGAAUCCGCUAAGGAGUGUGUAACAACUCACCUGCCGAAUGAACUAGCCCUGAAAAUGGAUGGCGCUUAAGCGUGCUACCGAUACUUUACCGCCAAAAUUUAUAUAGAAAGUUUUGGUGAGUAGGCAGGCGUGGGGGUUAGUAGCGAAUCUGUGGGAGUGAUCUCCAGUGGAACAACC